CUUUUAAAAAUGCUGAAUUUUUUUGUCAAACUUUGUUUGACCUUGUUGAACUUGGGAUAAAUCACUUGGACCUUUCAAGGUUGAUUUGAAGUGAUUUUGAAGUUUGACCUUUCUUUUAUUUUUAAUUCAAGUUUAUUUUUAAUAUUGAAAAUGCCAAAAAUAUUUUGCUUAUUGUUUGACCUCCAAUCUUCAUCUCAUUUCUGGUUUCUCAUUAUUUGAC
rnacentral:lncRNA from 1 species